UGCGGUAACGGUCCUGGAAUGACUCGCAGUCCUCCAUCAGCUCGUGCAUCUGACCUCCAAAGUUCUCCCUCUCGUAGAUCCUCAUCCUGAAGGAUCCUCUGUGCUGUUAAGUGAUUCAAUAAAUUAGUAGUUGAGGACUCCACGAUACACCCCAAUGGCAUGAUUUGCCUGUUCAUGAACCCCAUCUCUCUGAAGCUUCUGUACUCCCAUGGCCUCAGGUGUGUCAUCAGUGGGUUGCCAUGGAGAUCACGUGACAGGAGUGGAUGCAUGGAUGUUGCCCAAGGUGUACCAGACUGGCUCUCCACUGAAUUGCAACUUCUGCAGCCAGUGCAGGUCAACUGUGGGCGAAUAGUUGGAAAGAAGAGUCGAUAUUUGUAUCGUGAGGCCCACACGAUUGUUACUGGUCUUCUGAAGACUUGAACCUAGAAAAGUGGGGUGUGGCAUCACUGCAGUGAGAACCAGUGGUUCAUCUUGAUUUGGCCCAGGAAUGUGGCUCUACAGUGUUACUGUAACCAGAGCACUAGAUACAGUUUAGAUGGGAAAUUGGAGAGCAUGUUAAGCUGAAUGGCCAGUUCUCAUCAUUAUGUUGUUAUGUUAUGUUAUAACCCAUCUUCUAUGGAGAUGAAAGUGGAUGUUUGGACUUCUGUGAGAACUCACUGAAUGUAGAGGUACUAACUGAAAUGCUCUGAACUUACCUAAAGUAGAAGAAUUAACAUAAGUUGAAAGGCUAAAUGCUGAAUGCUCUGGACAAUGGUUUCCCAUUUGGAGAAAAAUGUUCCCAGUGAAUGCAGAAUAAAAUGAAUCAGACCAUGUCUAAUAACUUAAAAUAAAAUUUUUAUU